GAUGAACGCUGGCGGCGUGCUUAACACAUGCAAGUCGAACGGUGAAGCAGAGCUUGCUCUGUGGAUCAGUGGCGAACGGGUGAGUAACACGUGAGCAACCUGCCCCUGACUCUGGGAUAAGCGCUGGAAACGGCGUCUAAUACUGGAUAUGAGCUGCGAUCGCAUGGUCAGCAGUUGGAAAGAUUUUUCGGUCUGGGAUGGGCUCACGGCCUAUCAGCUUGUUGGUGAGGUAAUGGCUCACCAAGGCGUCGACGGGUAGCCGGCCUGAGAGGGUGACCGGCCACACUGGGACUGAGACACGGCCCAGACUCCUACGGGAGGCAGCAGUGGGGAAUAUUGCACAAUGGGCGAAAGCCUGAUGCAGCAACGCCGCGUGAGGGAUGACGGCCUUCGGGUUGUAAACCUCUUUUAGCAGGGAAGAAGCGAAAGUGACGGUACCUGCAGAAAAAGCGCCGGCUAACUACGUGCCAGCAGCCGCCGUAACAC
rnacentral:rRNA from 1 species